AGCGUGCUCCUCUGCCUCAUUGCAGUGGCCUCAGGGAUAAGGAAUCAAGACCCAUCCAGUGUGACAAAUAAACCUGGACUCUCACCAAUGCAGAAAAAAAACAAAAAACCUGACCAGUGACCAGGAGUAAAGGAUUCUCACAUAUCACAUGAACCAGAAAACUCUGUGCACAGACCGAGUCUUUUAACACAGGUACCACCCCUAGAAUUUCCAGUACACCAGCACCAGCCUGAAAACCAAGUCCUCAUCAGAAGCCAGAAAGGAAAGAAAAAACUCAAGCCAGCCUGGGAAGGACCCUAUCUUAUGCUGUUAACUACUGAGACUGCCAUCUGCACAGCCGAGAAACAAUGGACCCACCAUACCCGAGUCAAGAAAACAUAUUCCUCAUCAGAAUCAUGGGUUACCGUACUAGGAUCAAGCCCUGCUAAGUUAAAGUUUAAAAAAAGCUUAAUUUUCAUAUACCUUCUAUAUUGCUUCCCUUCCUUUCCUUAUUCCCUUACUAGCUCCUUUUUUAUUAAUGUUACUAAGUCUGACUCACCUCAGACCAUUGCCUUUAAUGCUUGCUCUGUCAUACAUUAUGGAAAUGUAAAAAAUCAAUGACAGCUAGCCUUUUCACACAAAUAUUUAUGUCCCAGUCCUCUAAUUGACAUAGUUACCCCUGGCACUCAUCGUUGUAAUCACCUGUAGCCAAGACGUCAAUUUUCUGCUCCUACAGCCUGGAAACCUUGUAGUAAAUGGGACUACUUCCUUUAAACUACUCAGGAGCAAAGUUGGACUUCCAUGAAAAAGGGUAAAUGCGCGAUUUGCGAGAAAGGGAGAAGAGGGAAGAAGAAGCGGUGUGGUUGAUUUACAACUUUUACAACUUAUCACCAGGAAGUUGAGUCUUUGAAAAGGAUCUUUGUUGUCCUAACAACCCCUUACCCCAAGUGAUCCACCCACCUGGGCCUCCCAAAAUGCUGGGAUUAAAGGAGUGAGCCACUGUGCCUGGCCCCACAAAUUUUUAAUAGGAGAAAAGAGAAGCUGUGAACCCCAUGGAUCAAAGCUCUUCCCAUUCAUGAACCUGCACCCUGACGCAAGAUUCUCCCCUGAUGACCCUCCCAUGGUCCCUGCACAAUCUGGGAGAGACGCCGUGCUGUGGGUGCAGAGCUGCCCAGAGAGGGCUCCAGGCCAGUGCACAGUCACUGAACAGGGAAGAGACUGGAUGCCCAGGGGCCUGCCUGUCAGCGGAGCCGCCAUCUUACGGCUGAACGGGACUGAGGCUGAGCUGGACAAGGACACCUCAGGGCGCAGAUUGUGGAGCUGACUUCGGGGAGGCCUGAAUCCCACCACAGCCACUUCCCACUGAUUCCAACCAGUCCCUCCCCUCUCUUGGGAUGUCCAAUUGGCACCCUCACCAUUUCUAGGCUUCCAGAAGGUCCCAGCAUCUUAGCUGUGGAUCUCCCAAUACCGGCAGGACACAGAGCCACAGAGGCUGGGCCUCUAGGAGCAGAGGACACAGAGGACUGAAGACGAGACCUGGAGCUCCUGCUGCAGCAAGAGACAAAGUCCGCGCCAAACCCAGAAGUUGUCCUGUUCUCUCCAGCUGGGUGUCUGAUUGGACGGUUUCCAGCUCAGAGUUCCUGAUUGGAUAAUGCUUAAGGUCCCGCCCCCUCAGGCCUUGAGUGACAGAAGAUGUGAUCAGGUGCUGGGCUGAGUGAAGAAAGAGCAACAGCCUAAGCUGCAGCCUUUUCAGGCAGGGCUUCCUCCCUGAGCUGAGCCAGGCCCACCCCAGAACAUGAGAAAAUUCUGUCUCUUUUUCACUCUCGGUCUUUUUGAAUAUAUUCAAAAGGUGAACAGAAGUACUUUGCUGUCAUAUUAAUAAUACAUAAAAUUUUUGUUCAAGAGAAAAUCAACUUUUACUUUGGUAAUAGCGUAUUAUC
rnacentral:lncRNA from 1 species